GACAAGUAGUUUAAUUUACUUCAUAAAACAUAACACUGAAAAUGUUAAAAUGGCUGGCCCUUCUCCA
rnacentral:tRNA from 1 species